AGGACAUUACAGUCAACGGGGGCCCCCACGCAGGGCCCCCCCCGCCCCCUCAGGGAAGCCGCGUGUCGCCCUCGCCCCACCUCGGUGGGCCCCCAUGGCCUGGGCCACGCGGCGCGUCCCCCGAACCCACACCGCGUACCCAUCCACGUUGCUUCCCCGGGGAGGCAGCCCCGCUGCCCCGGGCCUCGCACGCGAGGCCCGGCUCGCGACCGAGUCCCCGGGGGAGGUCCUCGAUCCCGCCGCCCUCGUCAAAUACACGUCUGAGCGGCCUUCGGCCACGAGCACAAGCAAAUGUCUUCUGGAAAAACUUUCAACAACGGAUCUCUAGGUUCCCGCAUCGAUGAAGAACGCAGCGAAAUGCGAUAAGUAAUGUGAAUUGCAGAAUUCAGUGAAUCAUCGAAUCUUUGAACGCACAUUGCGCCCCCUGGCAUUCCGGGGGGCAUGCCUGUCCGAGCGUCUCAUGCCCACCGUCGCCCGCCCCGGGUGGUCCUGGCGACGGUGCCUGGUGCCCCUGGGCGCCGGCACCCCCUGCCGCAAUCGAUCGGCCGACGCCCGCAGCGACCUCCCAACGUAGUAUCACCGAAAUGUCCGUUGGCCCGCAGCCGGGUUGCCCGUCGUGCCGCGCCGCCUCCCCAAACCGGGGGCGGCCCACCCAACCAACCAAGCAUACCUCGGAUCAGGCAGGGAUACCCGCUGAACUUAAGCAUAUC
rnacentral:rRNA from 1 species